AAGAACAUACAAACAUUUGCUUCUCAUUACAAAGAGAGACACAGCAGAGACACACUAGAAGAGCAGGAAGGCAGCCCGGGAAAGGCCGAGACAUGGCUUAGGAGGUUCAGGAAGACAAGACUGCAAUGCCUCAGACAAUCCUCAAUUUUUACAAAGAGCUUCUAUAAACCCACCCAGAGUCCCUCAGAAAGCCAAAUGCUCGGACUGGGUAACAGCACCAGCCACAGGCACCUGCUUUCUUCCAAGAAGGAGCUCUCACCUGUCACUCAAAAGCACCUGCACUGAGAAGUUGGGAGAGCCAGAGAAGACUCCUGCCCUUUCUGAAUUUUACCAAUUAUCUAUUCAAA